UACAGCCAUAUCACGUUGAAACACCGAUUCUCAUAUGAUCACCGAAGUUAUGCAACGUCGAGGCUGGUCAGUACCUAGAUGGGUGACCGCUUAGGAAUAACAGGUGCUGUAAG